rfam:Candidatus Nitrospira inopinata isolate ENR4 genome assembly, chromosome: 1
GAUUUCCGCGGCUGAAACGCCGCGGCCCCAUUGAAGC